UUUUCAGAAAGCAGCUCCUUGUUCCCUCCCCUCAUCUAGUGUAAGAGCUCUGCUAGGGCAUAGAGGUUCUCUCCUUGUUUCGAGAUAGCAAAGGACAUUGUACUUCCAGCUCCGUACCCUGCUCUUGUGCUCCACUACUUUUCUUGGGUUACUACUUUUUUCUGCUAGCGUAUAACAAGAUGGAAAGAGCUCUGGAGGUGGAUCUGCUGGUGGUAGCGGUGCUGCAUAGUUUGGACCAGUUACCUGUAGCUCUUAAUAGUAGUUGUUAUGGCUUUAAUGUCCCUCUCGUUUAAAUUUCCUUCUGGUUAGGGCACUGUGAUAUGCCUAAGUUUCAAUGUUCCUGAAUACUCUUGGAUGACUGUAUCAAAUACACUCUAUCGUUUUCUGUC